rnacentral:rRNA from 1 species
AGAUUGAACGCUGGCGGCAGGCCUAACACAUGCAAGUCGAACGGUAACAGGAAGCAGCUUGCUGCUUCGCUGACGAGUGGCGGACGGGUGAGUAAUGUCUGGGAAACUGCCUGAUGGAGGGGGAUAACUACUGGAAACGGUAGCUAAUACCGCAUAAUGUCGCAGGACCAAAGAGGGGGACCUUCGGGCCUCUUGCCAUCAGAUGUGCCCAGAUGGGAUUAGCUUGUUGGUGAGGUAACGGCUCACCAAGGCGACGAUCCCUAGCUGGUCUGAGAGGAUGACCAGCCACACUGGAACUGAGACACGGUCCAGACUCCUACGGGAGGCAGCAGUGGGGAAUAUUGCACAAUGGGCGCAAGCCUGAUGCAGCCAUGCCGCGUGUAUGAAGAAGGCCUUCGGGUUGUAAAGUACUUUCAGCGGGGAGGAAGGUGUUGUGGUUAAUAACCGCAGCAAUUGACGUUACCCGCAGAAGAAGCACCGGCUAACUCCGUGCCAGCAGCCGCGGUAAUACGGAGGGUGCAAGCGUUAAUCG